AAUUUUGAAUUUUUUUUUUUUUUUUUUUUUAAAUUUAUUUUUAAUUAA
rnacentral:sRNA from 1 species